GACGAACGCUGGCGGCGUGCCUAAUACAUGCAAGUUGAGCGAUGAAGAUUGGUGCUUGCACCAAUUUGAAGAGCAGCGAACGGGUGAGUAACGCGUGGGGAAUCUGCCUUUGAGCGGGGGACAACAUUUGGAAACGAAUGCUAAUACCGCAUAACAACUUUAAACAUAAGUUUUAAGUUUGAAAGAUGCAAUUGCAUCACUCAAAGAUGAUCCCGCGUUGUAUUAGCUAGUUGGUGAGGUAAAGGCUCACCAAGGCGAUGAUACAUAGCCGACCUGAGAGGGUGAUCGGCCACAUUGGGACUGGGACACCGCCCAAACUCCUACGGGAGGCAGCAGUAGGGAAUCUUCGGCAAUAGACGAAAGUCUGACCGAGCAACGCCGCGUGAGUGAAGAAGGUUUUCGGAUCGUAAAACUCUGUUGGUAGAGAAGAACGUUGGUGAGAGUGGAAAGCUCAUCAAGUGACGGUAACUACCCAGAAAGGGACGGCUAACUACGUG
rnacentral:rRNA from 1 species